AAUAGAUACCCGGGUAGUCCACGCCGUAAACGAUGAGUGCUAAGUGUUAGGGGGUUUCCGCCCCUUAGUGCUGCAGCUAACGCAUUAAGCACUCCGCCUGGGGAGUACGGUCGCAAGACUGAAACUCAAAGGAAUUGACGGGGGCCCGCACAAGCGGUGGAGCAUGUGGUUUAAUUCGAAGCAACGCGAAGAACCUUACCAGGUCUUGACAUCCCGCUGACCGUUCUAGAGAUAGAUCUUUCCCUUCGGGGACAGCGGUGACAGGUGGUGCAUGGUUGUCGUCAGCUCGUGUCGUGAGAUGUUGGGUUAAGUCCCGCAACGAGCGCAACCCUUGAUCUUAGUUGCCAGCAUUCAGUUGGGCACUCUAAGGUGACUGCCGGUGAUAAACCGGAGGAAGGUGGGGAUGACGUCAAAUCAUCAUGCCCCUUAUGACCUGGGCUACACACGUGCUACAAUGGACGGUACAGAGGGUCGCAACCCCGCGAGGGUGAGCUAAUCCCAUAAAACCGUUCUCAGUUCGGAUUGUAGGCUGC
rnacentral:rRNA from 1 species